UGGGGAAUUUUGGACAAUGGGGGAAACCCUGAUCCAGCCAUCCCGCGUGUGCGAUGAAGGCCUUCGGGUUGUAAAGCACUUUUGGCAGGAAAGAAACGUCAUGGGUUAAUACCCCGUGAAACUGACGGUACCUGCAGAAUAAGCACCGGCUAACUACGUGCCAGCAGCCGCGGUAAUACGUAGGGUGCAAGCGUUAAUCGGAAUUACUGGGCGUAAAGCGUGCGCAGGCGGUUCGGAAAGAAAGAUGUGAAAUCCCAGAGCUCAACUUUGGAACUGCAUUUUUAACUACCGGGCUAGAGUGUGUCAGAGGGAGGUGGAAUUCCGCGUGUAGCAGUGAAAUGCGUAGAUAUGCGGAGGAACACCGAUGGCGAAGGCAGCCUCCUGGGAUAACACUGACGCUCAUGCACCAAAGCGUGGGGAGCAAACAGG
rnacentral:rRNA from 1 species